rnacentral:rRNA from 1 species
GUGUCAGCCGCCGCGGUAAAACGUAGGAGGCGAGCGUUAUCCGGAUUUACUGGGUGUAAAGCGUGUGCAGGCGGUUUGAUAAGUUGGGUGUGAAAGCUCCUGGCUCAACUGGGAGAGGUCGCUCAAGACUGUCAGACUAGAGCGUGGUAGGGGAAGGCGGAAUUCCGGGUGUAGUGGUGAAAUGCGUAGAUAUCCGGAGGAACACCAGUGGCGAAAGCGGCCUUCUGGGCCACGACUGACGCUCAGACACGAAAGCUAGGGGAGCAAACGGGAUUAGAAACCCUAGUAGUCC